rnacentral:rRNA from 1 species
UACGUAGGGGGCUAGCGUUGUCCGGAAUCAUUGGGCGUAAAGCGCGUGUAGGCGGUCCGGUAAGUCCGCUGUGAAAGUCGGGGGGCUCAACCCUCGGAUGCCGGUGGAUACUGUCGGGCUUGAGUACGGAAGAGGCGAGUGGAAUUCCUGGUGUAGCGGUGAAAUGCGCAGAUAUCGGGAAGAACACCCGUGGCGAAGGCGGUUCUCUGGGACGGUACUGACGCUGAGACGCGAAAGCGUGGGGAGCGAACAGG